GCCCCGUGGAGCUGUAAGUAAGCUUUGAUCCGGGGAUAUCCGAAUGGGGAAACCCCCUAUCCGUAAUGGGAUAGGAUUCGCAUCUGAACACAUAGGAUGCGGAAAGGCAAACCCGGGGAACUGAAACAUCUUAGUACCCGGAGGAAGAGAAAGCAUAUGCGAUUUCCCGAGUAGCGGCGAGCGAAACGGAAUCAGCCCAAACCAGGGUGCUUGCACCCUGGGGUUGUAGGACACUCCUUACGGAGUUAUCAAGAAAUUAGGUAGGCGAAGCGGCCUGGAACGGCCCGCGAUACACGGUAAGAGCCCGGUAGUC
rnacentral:rRNA from 1 species